rnacentral:Y_RNA from 1 species
GGCUGGUCCGAGUGCAGUGGUGUUUACAGUUAAUUGAUCACAGCCAGUUACAGAUUUCUUUGUUCCUUCUCCACUCCCACUGCUUCACUUGACCGGCCUAAA